CAACGACUUGCAAGCGAACCCGGAUGUGUGUGUGGAAAUCUGCCCAGUACCAUAAACCGUAUGCGGCCUCACCAAUCCGGUAAGUCCGAAGGAACAGACGAAUACAACAAUUGGGCACAGCAUUUUUUACGACGAAGGCGUCCGAUGGGUAGUGGAUUGCGAUCUCGCAUACCGUUAAAACAACUUGGCCAGCAGCCGGCGGUAAUAAGGGCGAAUUCUGCA
rnacentral:rRNA from 1 species